rnacentral:sRNA from 1 species
AUAUAACCCAUUCCCCUCUUUCCAUACAGAUGCUGUGUCUGAUUGGUCUCCUAUGCAUGAAGCUGCAAUCCAUGGACAUCAGCUGUCUCUGAGGAACCUCAUCAGCCAGGGGUGGGCUGUGAACAUCAUCACGGCAGAUCAUGUUUCCCCACUCCAUGAAGCCUGUCUUGGAGGUCAUCUCUCUUGUGUGAAGAUUUUAUUAAAGCAUGGAGCUCAGGUGAAUGGUGUGACAGCAGACUGGCACACUCCACUGUUUAAUGCUUGUGUCAGCGGCAGCUGGGAUUGUGUGAAUUUGCUUCUGCAGCACGGAGCCAGCGUUCAACCUGAGAGUGAUCUGGCAUCCCCCAUCCAUGAAGCUGCUAGGAGAGGCCACGUGGAGUGUGUCAACUCUCUUAUAGCUUAUGGGGGCAACAUUGACCAUAAGAUCAGCCACCUGGGCACUCCACUCUAUUUGGCUUGUGAA